CGCUGUUUCAACUGACCCUAUCCAACGUGUUUAACCAACCAACCAACCAACCAACCAACCAACCAACCAACCAACCAACUAAUCAAUCAAUCAAUCAAUCAAUCAAUCAAUCAAUGAUGAUCAAUCAAUCAUGUAUCCGUCUCAUGUGUUUAAUAUACGGUCCAAGAUCUUCUUUGUUUCCUUUUCGCUGUUUCAAUUGACCCUAUCCAGUGUGUUUAACCAACCAACCAACCAACCAACUAAUCAAUCAAUCAAUCAAUCAAUCAAUCAAUCAAUAAAUCAAGUAAUCAAUCAAUCAUGAUCAUGAUCAAUCAAUCAUGUUUCAUGAAAUAUUGAAAUUUAAUAUUGUUCUUGCGUCACUUCUGAAAAAAAAUCAACAUGUACUCUGAAACUACAAGUACAAUCGACCUCAAAAUUUGCAGUCAGCAGGGCAUACAUGUACUUUAAGUUUAUAAAAAAACUUGGUGCAGAUAUCUCUCAAAGCUUUUCCUAGAGAAAAGAAAUGGCAAUGCCGUAAAAAUCGCUUGCAAGGUCCGUAAAUCUCAGUAAAAACCUACAAUAAAAUGUCCGCUCCGACAUUGAAAUGCUAAUCUGUGUUACAAAUAGGUGCUGAAAAAUGUACAAUAUCAGAAAAUAAUCAAUAAAUGUGUUUUAAAGUUACACCGGAUCAAUUAAAUCCAAAACAUGCACUGCCCGUGAACUGUGAUCCAAAUGUCAAUUUCCUACAAUGACAAAAGAAAUUACAUUGUGUUUAUUCCGUCUCUAUACAUGUUGUCUGUUCAAAGUCCCCACCUAAAAAGAAAUAAAAAGACUAACUUUUCGUUAUUAUAAACCCGUGUCACGUGAUGUGGCGCGCGCGCUGUACUUAAAAUAAAAGAAAAACUUUCCAAACUAAACAUGAAACUUCUCCGGUAACAAUAAUAUAGACCCCAUACAGAAACAAACAAACAAACAAACAAACAAACAAACAAACAAACAAACCCCAAAUUCAAUUAAUUUUAAAGGGGGAAAGACCACCUACAAUUGCUUUUUUAAAGCAAUUGAUUUAUAUUU
rnacentral:lncRNA from 1 species